ACGCUGGCGGCAGGCCUAACACAUGCAAGUCGAGCGGUAGAGAGAAGCUUGCUUCUCUUGAGAGCGGCGGACGGGUGAGUAAUGCCUAGGAAUCUGCCUGGUAGUGGGGGAUAACGUUCGGAAACGGACGCUAAUACCGCAUACGUCCUACGGGAGAAAGCAGGGGACCUUCGGGCCUUGCGCUAUCAGAUGAGCCUAGGUCGGAUUAGCUAGUUGGUGAGGUAAUGGCUCACCAAGGCGACGAUCCGUAACUGGUCUGAGAGGAUGAUCAGUCACACUGGAACUGAGACACGGUCCAGACUCCUACGGGAGGCAGCAGUGGGGAAUAUUGGACAAUGGGCGAAAGCCUGAUCCAGCCAUGCCGCGUGUGUGAAGAAGGUCUUCGGAUUGUAAAGCACUUUAAGUUGGGAGGAAGGGUUGUAGAUUAAUACUCUGCAAUUUUGACGUUACCGACAGAAUAAGCACCGGCUAACUCUGUGCCAGCAGCCGCGGUAAUACAGAGGGUGCAAGCGUUAAUCGGAAUUACUGGGCGUAAAGCGCGCGUAGGUGGUUUGUUAAGUUGGAUGUGAAAUCCCCGGGCUCAACCUGGGAACUGCAUUCAAAACUGACUGACUAGAGUAUGGUAGAGGGUGGUGGAAUUUCCUGUGUAGCGGUGAAAUGCGUAGAUAUAGGAAGGAACACCAGUGGCGAAGGCGACCACCUGGACUAAUACUCACACUGAGGUGCGAAAGCGUGGGGAGCAAAC
rnacentral:rRNA from 1 species